AAAGUCGUAACAAGGUUUGCGUCGGUGAACCUGCGGAAGGAUCAUUAACACGUAUCCAACGUUAAACCCCCCCGUGAAUAUUAAGCGUGCUCUUGGAUCCUCCCAAUCAGCAAUCUCUGGUAAAUCAUGUCGAACGGUUUGAUUCAGAGACUUCUGCCUUCGCGGAUGACUGCCUAACGGUCCAAUCGAGCGCUAGGAUCAGUGGUUUGGUUUCACUUCUGUGGUGGGGAGGUCGCUUAUCGCACGCUGGAGGCUCACACGAGCCGGCGAGCGCAAGCUCCCCUAAACCACAUGUCAGCGUAGGCCCUUCUGUCGUGGUUGGGCGUAAAAACGAACAACUGUUAACAAUGGAUAUCUUGGUUCUC
rnacentral:misc_RNA from 1 species